GAUGAACGCUAGCUACAGGCUUAACACAUGCAAGUCGAGGGGAAACGAUAGAGAAAGCUUGCUUUUUCUAGGCGUCGACCGGCGCACGGGUGAGUAACGCGUAUCCAACCUGCCCACCACUUGGGGAUAACCUUGCGAAAGUAAGACUAAUACCCAAUGACGUCUCUAGAAGACAUCUGAAAGGGAUUAAAGAUUUAUCGGUGAUGGAUGGGGAUGCGUCUGAUUAGCUUGUUGGCGGGGUAACGGCCCACCAAGGCUACGAUCAGUAGGGGUUCUGAGAGGAAGGUCCCCCACAUUGGAACUGAGACACGGUCCAAACUCCUACGGGAGGCAGCAGUGAGGAAUAUUGGUCAAUGGACGAGAGUCUGAACCAGCCAAGUAGCGUGCAGGAUGACGGCCCUAUGGGUUGUAAACUGCUUUUAUAAGGGAAUAAAGUGAGCCUCGUGAGGCUUUUUGCAUGUACCUUAUGAAUAAGGACCGGCUAAUUCCGUG
rnacentral:rRNA from 1 species